AACGAACGCUGGCGGCAGGCCUAACACAUGCAAGUCGAGCGAGGACUUCGGUCCUAGCGGCGGACGGGUGAGUAACGCGUGGGAACGUGCCCUUUGCUUCGGAAUAGCCCUGGGAAACUGGGAGUAAUACCGGAUGAGCACUUUGGGGGAAAGAUUUAUCGGCGAAGGAUCGGCCCGCGUUGGAUUAGGUAGUUGGUGGGGUAAUGGCCUACCAAGCCGACGAUCCAUAGCUGGUUUGAGAGGAUGAUCAGCCACACUGGGACUGAGACACGGCCCAGACUCCUACGGGAGGCAGCAGUGGGGAAUCUUAGACAAUGGGGGAGACCCUGAUCUAGCCAUGCCGCGUGAGCGAUGAAGGCGUUAGGGUUGUAAAGCUCUUUCAGCUGGGAAGAUAAUGACGGUACCAGCAGAAGAAGCCCCGGCUAACUACGUG
rnacentral:rRNA from 1 species